AGCGGGGUAGAGGAAUUGGUCAACUCAUCAGGCUCAUGAGCUGAAGACUGCAGGUUCGAAUCCUGUCCCCGCCU
rnacentral:tRNA from 1 species